UGCCAGCAGCCGCGGUAAUACAGAGGGUGCAAGCGUUGUUCGGAAUCAUUGGGCGUAAAGCGCACGUAGGCGGCUUUUUAAGUCAGUUGUGAAAGCCCGAGGCUCAACCUCGGACGUGCAGCUGAAACUGGAGAGCUAGAAUCCUGGAGAGGGUGGUGGAAUUCCGAGUGUAGAGGUGAAAUUCGUAGAUAUUCGGAGGAACAUCGGUGGCGAAGGCGACCACCUGGACAGUGAUUGACGCUGAGGUGCGAAAGCGUGGGUAGCAAACCGGAUUAGAUA
rnacentral:rRNA from 1 species